GUCACUCGGAACACCUUCAGAGGUGCUCACAUUUGUGUCAAAGCAAGAGUAGAUGAAAGACUAACUUCAUUCUUCCUUUUUAUCUUUCAUUUGUUUAUCUUUUUUUAUAAAAUAAUAAUAAUUCAUAAUUAAUUCAUAAUUUAUGACAAAGGAAACGUCUCUCGACUCGGAGUCACUGUUCGGGAAUAGUGACUCGGGACCGUCUCCUUGUCCCCGACUUCAGGAAGCGAAGUCACGUCACGUCAACAUCAUGUCUCAUACCUUUAAAUGUGUUUACACAAAUAUCAGCUUUUGAUCAACAUACAGAAGUUAAAUCUAUAAAACCGCUUCACACUUCGGUCUUUUACGUGGUUCCUUCAGUCAGAGAGAACUGAACACGUCGUGGUGUGAAAGUUAAUCCAUCUGUAUCUCUGAGGAGAUCUCAUGCUGCCUCCCUGUAGCUUCUGGAAACUGUUCUUCUCACUGUGUGUUUAGAUGAAGUGAUGAUGGAAUGUAAACCCGACCGUGAAGAGACGCUCGGUUAAAUACUUAAACAAACACCUGGAGCUGGAGGUUUUCUGUCAUUCCUGUCCCUUCUCUAGAUCAGCUUCAGCUUUACCAACAUGGCCUGCAGUCUAUUCCAGAUUCAGAGAGACCAGUGGACAGAUUAUUUCUGCAAACUUUAAUUCAGUGUUUGAACAAUUUUCUCUUUAAUUUGUUUAGAAAGUCUGCAACAGGAGCUUUGUUACGGCUGGAAAUUCCUGGAAAAUACUUUCAUUCAUUCAUCUUCUACCACUUAUCCGAACUUCUCGGGUCAUGGGGAGCGAGAAUCGAACCCCCAACCCUGGAGGUGUGAGGAGAACGUGCUAACCACUAAGCCACCGUGCCACCUAUCAGUUUCUCACUGCAACUGAAAUCAGAUCGAAUUGGACCAGGGCCUCCUCGCUCCGACCCAAGUGUGAUCGAUACCUUCUCACCUGCCGAAACAACAGCAGUGAGGAAAAAAAAACACCGCUCUAAGUGACGCACACAAUCUACACCUUAAUACGGAGCUGCAACCGGAGUAUGCCUUCAAUGGUGAUCAUCACCUUAGCAAUUCAAGUCCUUCUCAAUCUAUCAAAAGUAUGUGAUCCCAUCUUUAUGGGAAAACAAAUCGGCAUGAUGUGGGCAAGAACUACGGUGUUGUCUACUGAAUGAAAGGAUGCGUUAAAUUGUUUACAUUUAUUUAUUUAAUCUAAAGUUCUAAUAAAGCAAUCUAUUGCAUUUUAUAUGGUGACACAAAGUUAUUUUAAUUGUGAUCCGAAUACCUUUUAUUAUUUAUUUAUCUGGCUUUAUUUAUUUGUUUGUUUAUUUAUUUUUUGCUGUAGUACAACAAGACCAUAGAUGCUGUUUAUGAUGUGGAGGACUCGGUGGAAAAGCUCUUGGAUCUGCUUCAGAUGUACAGAUAGAAAGCUGGGGAUAAGGUUGCAGAUAAAGGGGGCAGCAUCUUCACCAACGCAUGCUUCCUUUUGGUGAUUUUGGUACAGGAUGAAGAACGGGCAUCGAGCGUGAAAAAGCUCCGCAGGGCCUCGGACCGCAUUUGCAGGAUCUAUAAGUUAAUGCUUAAAAAAUGCAAAAUAGAUGCUGAAAGAACCAAAAUUAAACAAAGGAUGAAUGUCUCACUGAAUGGAAGCUUCUUCCCCCAAGCCACUCCUCAGAAGUCUAAGACAGUACUCAGAUUUGCACCAGACUGGGUUCUUGAAAGAAAGAAGAUGAAGAAUAUUGUAGAUCCUCUUAUUGCCAUCCAAGUGUAACCCAUAGUGAAAUAAGGGCUACUAUAUUGUAGUUCCACUCCCAACCAUAGGGGGAGCUGGGGGACUGACUCGAUUAGAGCCUAUGGUUAUCAGCAUUUUUCUCUCUUUUUUUUUUGCUACUUCUCCUCGUGAAUGCCAGCAGAAAAUAAACCUUCUAAAAUUCUACAACGAGCUGAAUUAACAUUUCUAAAAAUCCUAAAACCAGCAGAAUGCAGAAAACCCAGGAAAUAAUUCCAAGUAGAAACAAUUGAAACUCUGGUGAGUGGAAGCACAUUUUGCUUAACCAAUUUAUUUAACCAAUUGAACAUUUAAGGGGGAUUUAUUUUUCUAUUAUUUUAAAGAGCUCUUGUUUCUUUUUCGUUUCAACAUUAUUGUACCAAUUAUUUUCACUGUUGUAAGAAGGCAAUAAAAUUGUCAGUUGUUCGACUCAAUCGGGGCUUCCCUUGUGAAUUGGCCCAACCUACCUCUCAUCGAACCUAAGUAGAUGUUAGCGUCCCUUAGUUACUUCCAUAAGAUCAACACAAUAGGCG